rnacentral:rRNA from 1 species
GUAGGUGGCAAGCGUUGUCCGGAAUUAUUGGGCGUAAAGCGCGCGCAUGUGGUUCUUUAAGUCUGAUGUGAAAGCCCCCGGCUCAACCGGGGAGGGUCAUUGGAAACUGGGGAACUUGAGUGCAGGAGAGGAAAGUGGAAUUCCACGUGUAGCGGUGAAAUGCGUAGAUAUGUGGAGGAACACCAGUGGCGAAGGCGACUUUCUGGCCUGUAACUGACACUGAGGCGCGAAAGCGUGGGGAGCAAACAGGGAUUAGAUACCCUGGUAGUCCACGCCGUAAACGAUGAGUGCUAAGUGUUGGGGGGGUUUCCCGCCCCUCAGUGCUGCAGCUAACGCAUUAAGCACUCCGCCUGGGGAUACGGUCGCAAGACUG